rnacentral:rRNA from 1 species
CGGCGGACGGGUGAGUAACACGUGGGUAACCUACCUAUAAGACUGGGACAACUUCGGGAAACCGGAGCUAAUACCGGAUAAGAUAUCGAACCGCAUGGUUCGAUAGUGAAAGAUGGUUUUGCUAUCACUUAUAGAUGGACCCGCGCCGUAUUAGCUAGUUGGUGAGGUAACGGCUCACCAAGGCAACGAUACGUAGCCGACCUGAGAGGGUGAUCGGCCACACUGGAACUGAGACACGGUCCAGACUCCUACGGGAGGCAGCAGA